rnacentral:rRNA from 1 species
UACGUAGGGUGCAAGCGUUGUCCGGAAUUAUUGGGCGUAAAGAGCUCGUAGGCGGUCUGUCGCGUCUGCUGUGAAAACUCAGGGCUUAACCCUGAGCUUGCAGUGGGUACGGGCAGACUAGAGUGCGGUAGGGGAGACUGGAAUUCCUGGUGUAGCGGUGAAAUGCGUAGAUAUCUGGAGGAACACCGGUGGCGAAGGCGGCAUCCUGGACCGGUAUUGACGCUGAGGAGCGAAAGCCAGGGGAGCAAACGGG